CUGAACGCGGCAGAUGCUUUGCCCGGGGCGGCGGGCUCCGCCGGCCCCAUCCCGCCCUGACUCCCCCCUCCGGGCGGCUGGAGGCCGGAGGUCGGAAGCCGGGCGGCUCCCGGUCCCGAGAUAACCCGAGCCCAGCGUUUGUCCCCGAAAAGCACGCGUCCGGAGAGGUCGCCACCGGGAGGCCAGGCGUGCGGGAGGCAAAAAUAAAUCCACGCUCCACAGGCUGUUCCCUCUGCUCACAUGGAUCAGACGGGGUCCAAAGGUGUUUAACAAACCAUGGAUUUGGGUAAAUCGACUGGAGUUAAGAAUUCCAGCCAAGAGGAUUCAAGCGUUGAUGUUAUGGGCGUUCAUUUCCUUCGAUGUGCUAACCUUUUCUAUUAUUUUCAUGGAUUUUAAGUGAGUGACAGAAUGUUUUUCCACCUUCAAUAAAAGACAUUCUGAGAGUAAAUAAGCUA